rnacentral:rRNA from 1 species
GUGCCAGCCGCCGCGGUAAGACAGAGGUGGCGAGCGUUGUUCGGAAUCACUGGGCUUAAAGGGCGAGUAGGCGGUGGAGCAAGUCUGAGGUGGAAUCCUACGGCUUAACCGUAGAACUGCCUUAGAAACUGUUUUACUUGAGUCAAUGAGGGGAGGGCGGAAUUCCUGGUGUAGCGGUGAAAUGCGUAGAUAUCAGGAGGAAGGCCUGUGGCGAAAGUGGCCCUCUGGCAUUGUACUGACGCUGAGGCGCGAAAGCGUGGGGAGCAAACAGGAUUAGAUACCCUGGUAGUCCACGCCCUAAACGGUGGGCAUUAGGUGUAGGGCUCGUAAGGGUUCUGUGCCGAAGGGAAACCAUUAAAUGCCCCGCCUGGGGAGUACGGCCGCAAGGUUGAA